rnacentral:rRNA from 1 species
GACGAACGCUGGCGGCGUGCUUAACACAUGCAAGUCGAACGAUGAAGCCUAGCUUGCUAGGUGGAUUAGUGGCGAACGGGUGAGUAAUACGUGAGUAACCUACCUUUAACUCUGGGAUAAGCCUGGGAAACUGGGUCUAAUACCGGAUACGACCAAUCUCCGCAUGGGGUGUUGGUGGAAAGCGUUAUGUAGUGGUUAUAGAUGGGCUCACGGCCUAUCAGCUUGUUGGUGAGGUAACGGCUCACCAAGGCGACGACGGGUAGCCGGCCUGAGAGGGUGACCGGCCACACUGGGACUGAGACACGGCCCAGACUCCUACGGGAGGCAGCAGUGGGGAAUAUUGCACAAUGGGCGCAAGCCUGAUGCAGCGACGCCGCGUGAGGGAUGACGGCCUUCGGGUUGUAAACCUCUGUUAGCAGGGAAGAAGAGAGAUUGACGGUACCUGCAGAGAAAGCGCCGGCUAACUACGUGCCAGCAGCCGCGGUAAUACGUAGGGCGCGAGCGUUGUCCGGAAUUAUUGGGCGUAAAGAGCUUGUAGGCGGUUUGUCGCGUCUGCUGUGAAAGGCCGGAGCUUAACUCCGUGUAUUGCAGUGGGUACGGGCAGACUACAGUGCAUUAGGGGAGACUGGAAUUCCUGGUGUAGCGGUGGAAUGCCCAGAUAUCAGGAGGAACACCGAUGGCGAAAGCAGGUCUCUGGGCUGUAACUGACUCUGAGAAACGAAGCAUGGGCAGCGAAUAUUGAUUAUAUAUCCUGGUUUCUUAGGGCGAAUUCCCCAGUGGAUAUCAAGUUUAUUUCUACUUUCGACCUCUAGGGGGCGCCCGGUCCCAGUUUUUGUUUUCUUUUAUUAAGGAUCAAUAUAAAUAAGCCC